GCUGGGCACAGUGGUGCAUGCCUGUAAUCCCAGCAACUAGGGAGGCUGAGGCAGGAGGAUUGGAAGUUUGAGGCCAGCCUCAGAAACCUAGUGAGGCCCUCAGCAAUUUAACAAAACCUUGUCUCAA
rnacentral:sRNA from 1 species